AAUCCUCAUUAUUAACCGGUAUAUCCAGUAAGUGAAUAAAUGUGGCUGUGCUCCAAUUAUAAAAAAAUUGACAAGAGCAGGUGACAAUGUGGAUUUGACUUCUGGGUCAUAGUUGACCAACCUCUGAUCUAGAAGAAAUAUUUCAAAUAAGGAUUUCCUGGUUGAAACAUAAAUUAUUCUCAUAUUCAACUCUUUCAGCACACAAGAAGUUUUCAAAGUAAAUUAAAGCCUUGGGGUAAAGAGCAAAUCCAGAGUGCUGCCAGAAAAACAGCCGCAGCAUGAAGAUCAGUUCAAGUGUGGGGUGGAAAGACUUUGUUCAACCUUUAGAAAGAUUAGGAUUUGUCACAUAGGCCCUCUCAGCUAGACAAUAGGGCUUUUAAGAUUCUUAAGGGCUUGCCUUGUUGACCUCAACUAGACAAUAGAGUUUCUGAGAAUCUUAAGAAAGUACCUUUUAGGCCCUUUUGGCUAGAAAAGAGGGAUUUCAGGAAUCUUAAUGAUAUUGUCCCCACAGCCCUGUUUCUAAGGCCAAAGUAGAGAGAAGUGGGUCUUAAAAAGUCUGUCUUAAAAAUAUAGUAUAGAUACAUAGGAAGGACAGAAUUUUUAACAGAAAUUUUAACAGUUUGAACUAAAAGAGACAGAGAUAGUUCUAAAUGAAAAAGACCUCUGUGUUUCUUAUCUCCAAUGAGCAGGAUACAAGCUGAGAAAACUAUUUAGCUGCAAACACGUUCCACUUCUUACAGAAGAGUAAGGAUGAAACAGGAGGCCGAGCCAGGGCAACCAUUCUCAGGGAGCAUAAGUUGUCCCUAAUCAGGAAAAAUUCUUUCCCUGGAGACAGAGAUAAUGGUAACCUCCCGGCUAGAUUGCAGAAUUGCUAUGGGUCUUCUGUUUUACCCUUUUAUACUGGAAGAUUCCAUUGUGGCUGCCAUGCCCUUUCAUCAUUAUUGUAUGUUGGGUGUGUGUGGGACAGAUGAUGGUUUCUUUGGUGUGAUUUAUUUUUUAGUUCACAGGUAUUCCUAAGGAACUUCAGAAAUCCACCCCAUCUAUCUCUGGCUCUGAUAUAGAUGACAAGAGCCUUGGAUAUGAGCUGAUCCCACAAUGGGAUGGAAAUUUUGGGGGGUCUUGGGAGGUGGUGUUGAUUCCUAAUAAACAACUUGUACCACAAACUUCUCAGAUCUUCUGGAGAAUCCAACAAAUACAUAUCUUAUCUCUGGAAAGAGGCACUUUGGCUUACCCCUGCUUAUAAACAACAGGCAAGAGCAGUACUCAUGGUGCCCAAGAC